rnacentral:rRNA from 1 species
UACGCCCUACGGGAGGCAGCAGUGGGGGAUAUUGCACAAUGGGGGCAACCCUGAUGCAGCGACGCCGCGUGAGCGAUGGAGUACUUCGGUAUGUAAAGCUCUGUCAGCAGGGAAGAGAAUGACGGUACCUGACCAAGAAGCCCCGGCUAAAUACGUGCCAGCAGCCGCGGUAAUACGUAUGGGGCAAGCGUUAUCCGGAUUUACUGGGUGUAAAGGGAGCGUAGGCGGCAGGGCAAGCCUGAUGUGAAAGCCCGUGGCCCAACCCCGGGACUGCUCUUGGAACUGCGUGGCUGGAGUGCAGGAGG